rnacentral:rRNA from 1 species
UGGGGAAUUUUGGACAAUUGGGCGAAAGCCUGAUCCAGCAAUGCCGCGUGUGUGAAGAAGGCCUUCGGGUUGUAAAGCACUUUUGUCCGGAAAGAAAUCCUUGGCUCUAAUACAGUCGGGGGAUGACGGUACCGGAAGAAUAAGCACCGGCUAACUACGUGCCAGCAGCCGCGGUAAUACGUAGGGUGCAAGCGUUAAUCGGAAUUACUGGGCGUAAAGCGUGCGCAGGCGGUUUGCUAAGACCGAUGUGAAAUCCCCGGGCUCAACCUGGGAACUGCAUUGGUGACUGGCAGGCUAGAGUAUGGCAGAGGGGGGUAGAAUUCCACGUGUAGCAGUGAAAUGCGUAGAGAUGUGGAGGAAUACCGAUGGCGAAGGCAGCCCCCUGGGCCAAUACUGACGCUCAUGCACGAAAGCGUGGGGAGCAAACAGGAUUAGAUACCCUGGUAGUCCACGCCCUAAACGAUGUCAACUAGUUGUUGGGGAUUCAUUUCCUUAGUAACGUAGCUAACGCGUGAAGUUGACCGCCUGGGGAGUACGGUCGCAAGAUUAAAACUCAAAGGAAUUGAC